GCUGGUACCACUUUCUUGUCACCUUAACGUGAGCAGCGUGAUGCAGAACACAGCAAGUCAGGACAUAUGAAGAUUGAAGCAGUUCAUAAAGUAAGGGUAUAAUUAAGUGCUUGAACAUGGACAGAUUCCUGAAAUAAUGAUAGAUGUGAGGAAAGGAGAUGAAGAAGUUUGGUUUGUUGAGAAACACAAGGAAUGUGUUGAGAGGAAGGUGACAAGUAUAGCAAGAUUCAAGGAAGUGCAUAUACAUCUCCUUCAUAUAUCUUUCUGGCUAAAACCAGAAUGAUAUCCAUGAAGGAUCUUGAAAAUUGAGUCCAAAUUUGGUUUGGAUCCUACAGAAGACAUGUGUUGGGGGCUGCUACAUGGCAGUACGUUAGAUCUCAUAGCAGAUUCCCCUGAAGUAUGAAAAAGUCAAAGUCCAAAUGGACAUGAAGUUUGUAAAGAAACAACACUGAAGAUUGAUUUAGUAACAGCUGUGUUCAGGAAGAAGAUUAGAGAGAAGUGAGUUUAGGAAGAAAAUCCAAAUAUCAAUAUGCCUGCAGCUCUAGGAGUUUAUGUUAGGCUACUGAGAAUGUUAAUCAGAUUUCAAAAAACCCAGACAGUGUAAUGCAUGGCAGGUUGUACUCUACAGCAUAGAAACCAUGCUGCACAGUUUGCUUUGUGCAGAAAACAUGGUUAUAUAUGCAAGUAAUUUCCAUAUUUCUGCUGCCUUAUUUUUAACCCAUUUAAUGACCUUUAUGAUCACAGUUCAGUCAAGUAGCAGCAUUCGUGCCAGCAACAGCAUUCCAGCUGGGUUAAUGAAUACACACAUGAUUUCAUGAAGGAAUAUAUCUUUUUUGACCCAGUUUCAACCUUUCAUAUUUCAAGCUGUUUAAUUAUAAGAUAUAUUGGUUGGAAACAAACACCCAUUUAUGCAACAUUAAAAGUUUAAACAAAUUCCAUAUGCAAUUAUCUUAGGCACUGAGUGUCUGUGAUUGGUAUAUGUAGGUAACAAAUUAGUGGCACAGUUGAUAAAUGCCUUUCACAGAACAGAUGCAAAUAACCAGACUUCUGUGUUCCUUGAGUCUGCAUGAUAAUAGGUUCUUUAAGCACCCUGCUAAGAAUUAGGAAAUUAGUCAAAUGGGAUCAUAUUUAGGUUGAGCUAAUACUGCACAGCUGAAUUUACCCACCAUUAUCUGCGGGCAUAAUUGGAGACAACUGUUUUUUGGACCAGCUGUGCAGGUCACAAAAGGAUAAUAAUGGGGGCCCAGCCUUGCUAUGUCAGAUUGAUAAAUGUUUAUAGCACCGUGUGACUGGAGGAGCUGGCUUUAAACAGUGUGCUAUGCAGCUCCUACAGCAGAGGACACGGUUGCUGGAGUUCUUGUUUUGCAAUUUUUCUGAAUUGGCUGCACAACUGUCAGCAUCGUGUCCGGUGUGAAGAGAUUUUAAUGUUGGCAAGGAGCAUGGAAGAGGCAUUUUACAAUGUGCCACCACUAUCCCGAGAAGAAAGGAGCAGUGCUAAUCCUGCAAACUUGCUCAGAAGUGUUUAAAAAUCUUUGAAGGCAUUUUCCAAGUACAAGGUGGCAAGAAGGGAAUAUGAGUUCA